UAAAAUGAACACUGGUCCUGCAUAAUCC
rnacentral:sRNA from 1 species